AGGGCAGCACAAAACCAGGAUACACCACUGACUCUCAAGCACAUACAGGUAAACUGUGCAUCAAUGUGACACUUUUUUCUUAGUGAUGCCUCAUGUUUGAGUUUUGCCUAAGGCCUCAUAAAGUCUACAGCCGCCUCUGCUGGUUAACUAGUGUUUACUGAUGAUGUGACAGAAGCAGCCAGAUGAAUUCUGAAAUGUAUAGGGGCUAUCUGCUAAG